CACGCCAAAACACGCUCCCAACCACCCUCAACGGGAUUCGGGAUGCGGCAUCUGGUCCCUCGUCUCUCAAGGGACGGUGGACCGAAGAUUGGGCUGCCGGCGUACCGCGCCGGACACAGCGCAUGGUGGGCGUCCUCGCUUUAUCAAUGCAGUGCAUCCGGCGCGCAGCUGGCAUUAUGGCCUUUGAACGACCCAACAAACGAAGCGCACGUCGCUUCGACCGCGACCCCAGGUCAGGCGGGACUACCCGCUGAGUUUAAGCAUAUAAAUAAGCGGAGGAGAAGAAACUUACAAGGAUUCCCCUAGUAACGGCGAGCGAACCGGGAGCAGCCCAGCUUGAGAAUCGGGCGGCUGUGUCGUCCGAAUUGUAGUCUGGAGAGGCGUCCUCAGCGACGGACCGGGCCCAAGUCCCCUGGAAAGGGGCGCCUGGCAGGGUGAGAGCCCCGUCCGGCCCGGACCCUGUCGCCCCACGAGGCGCCGUCAACGAGUCGGGUUGUUUGGGAAUGCAGCCCAAAUCGGGCGGUAGACUCUGUCCAAGGCUAAAUACAGGCGAGAGACCGAUAGCGAACAAGUACCGUGAGGGAAAGAUGAAAAGGACUUUGAAAAGAGAGUCAAAGAGUGCUUGAAAUUGCCGGGAGGGAAGCGGAUGGGGGCCGGCGAUGCGCCCCGGCCGUAUGCGGAACGGCUCUUGCUGGUCCGCCGCUCGGCUCGGGGUGUGGACUGUUGUCGGCCGCGCCGGCGGCCAAAGCCCGGGGGCCCUAGGUGCCCCCGGUGGCCGUCGUCGGCACGGCCGGUACCCACGCGCCUAAAGGCGUGUCCCUCGGGGCACUGCGCUGCAACGGCCUGCGGGCUCCCCAUCCGACCCGUCUUGAAACACGGACCAAGGAGUCUGACAUGCGUGCGAGUCGACGGGUUCUGAAACCUGGGAUGCGCAAGGAAGCUGACGAGCGGGAGGCCCUCACGGGCCGCACCGCUGGCCGACCCUGAUCUUCUGUGAAGGGUUCGAGUUGGAGCACGCCUGUCGGGACCCGAAAGAUGGUGAACUAUGCCUGAGCGGGGCGAAGCCAGAGGAAACUCUGGUGGAGGCUCGAAGCGAUAC
rnacentral:misc_RNA from 1 species